UCUGGGCAUGGUGGCGCAUGCCUGUAACCCCAGCGGCUGGGGAGGCUGAGACAGGAGAAGUUCAAAGCCAGCCUCAGCAAUGGCAAGGUACUGCACAAAUCAGUGAGAUCCUGUCUCUA
rnacentral:sRNA from 1 species